rnacentral:rRNA from 1 species
AUGGAAGAAGCAUAUGUGAAUCCAAAAAAGAGAAGGCAGAUAACUGGAAUUACCAACAAACAUCACUAUCAAGUUGAUUGCUUCAAUGAUGUUUUUGAUUGGCUAGUUCAAGAGCUUGACAAUAGGUUCAGUGAGACAUCCUCUAACUUGCUUGUUUGGUCAGCAGCUUUGAGUCCAAGACUCAUUUCGUGA